rnacentral:rRNA from 1 species
UGGCGGUGUGCUUCACACAUGCAAGUCGUACGAGGUAGCCAUACACUAGUGGCGGACGGGUGAGUAACGCGUGGGAAUCUGCCUUUAGAUGGGGGAUAACGAGCCGAAAGGUUCGCUAAUACCGCAUAUGCCGUAAGGUGAAAGGAGUAAUCCGUCUAGAGAUGAGCCCGCGUCCGAUUAGCUAGUUGGUAGGGUAAAGGCCUACCAAGGCGACGAUCGGUAGCUGGUCUGAGAGGAUGAUCAGCCACAAUGGGACUGAGACACGGCCCAUACUCCUACGGGAGGCAGCAGUGGGGAAUUUUACGCAAUGGGGGAAACCCUGACGUAGCGACACCGCGUGAGCGAAGAAGCCCCUUGGGGUGUAAAGCUCUGUCGGCUGGAACGAAAAAAAUGACGGUACCAGCAAAGGAAGCAUCGGCUAACUACGUGCCAGCAGCCGCGGUAAGACGUAGGAUGCAAGCGUUGUCCGGAUUUAUUGGGCGUAAAGAGUUCGUAGGCGGUUAUUUAAGUCUGAUGUUAAAUACUGUGGCCCAACCACAGAACUGCAUUGGAUACUGGAUGACUUGAGUGCGGUAGAGGCAAGUGGAAUUCCCAGUGUAGCGGUGAAAUGCGUAGAUAUUGGGAAGAACACCAGUGGCGUAAGCGACUUGCUGGCCCGUAACUGACGCUGAGGAACGAAAGCCAGGGGAGCGAAUGGGAUUAGAUACCCCAGUAGUCCUGGCCGUAAACGAUGGAUACUAGGCGUUGUGGGUAUCGACCCCUGCAGUGCCGCAGCUAACGCGAUAAGUAUCCCGCCUGAGUAGUACGGCCGCAAGGUUAAAACUCAAAGGAAUUGACGGGGCCCCGCA